rnacentral:rRNA from 1 species
CCUACGGGCGGGCUGCAGUGGGGAACAUUGCACAAUGGGGGAAACCCUGAUGCAGCGACGCCGCGGGAGGGAGGAAGUAUUUCGGUAUGUAAAGCUCUAUCAGCAGGGAAUAAAAUGACGGUACCUGACGAAGAAGCCCCGACUAACUACGUGCCAGCAGCCGCGGUAAUACGUAGGGGGCAAGCGUUAUCCGGAUUUACUGGGUGUAAAGGGAGCGUAGACGGAAUUGCGAGUCUGAUGUGAAAAUCCGGGGCCCAACCCCGGAACUGCAUUGGAAACUGGCUUUCUAGAGUGUCGGAGAGGCAAGUGGAAUUCGUGGUGUAGCGGUGAAAUGCGUAGAUAUCAGGAGGAACCCCAGUGGCGAAGGCGGCUUGCUGGAGGAUGACUGACGUUGAGGCUCGAAAGCGUGGGGAGCAAACAGGAUUAGAUACCCUUGUAGUC